rnacentral:rRNA from 1 species
UACGUAGGGGGCAAGCGUUGACCGGAUUUACUGGGCGUAAAGAGCGUGUAGGCGGCCAAGCAGGUCCGUUGUGAAAACUGGAGGCUUAACCUCCAGACGUCGACGGAAACCGCGUGGCUAGAGUCCGGAAGAGGAGAGUGGAAUUCCUGGUGUAGCGGUGAAAUGCGCAGAUAUCAGGAAGAACACCAAUGGCGAAGGCAGCUCUCUGGGACGGUACUGACGCUGAGACGCGAAAGCCAGGGGAGCAAACGGG